rnacentral:lncRNA from 1 species
UGCUUAGAGGGGGUGUCGACGAUCCUCCUUGUAAGAGGGUCAGGCCUAGGUUGGUUCCAAUCAGGUAUCUCAGCUUGUCGUUCGACCUUUAAGGAGUUGUAGGACAAGAGGGUCCUGAGUGGAGUCAUGUACCACUGGAGCUUUCUUUCGUAAAUCUCCAUCUCAUCUUGGAAGUAGAAAGGUUUGAUCAAGAUCAUGUGGUUUUUCCCUGGACUCGCCGUACUGACUUCCAAGGUAUGUCUGUCGGAACAUUUCUGAGUCCCUUUCAAAUCGAUUGUGAAUUGAAACUUACUUUCAAUUCUCCCUUUAGUGAUUAUACAUGUUUAGGGCUUCCACAAACCAUGAGUGACACCUAGCAGUAUGUCAUGGUUACCCAAGCUAAUCAGAAGAGGUGGAAAACUGAUUCAAUUUAGGAUUACAAUGCAAUACGGUCUUUCUCUAAUACAAUACUCUUGACCACAUUGUUUGGUUUAAUAGUUUAUUCAUGUCUAUUGUCUAAUGUGAGUCUCUUACUUAUAUGAUUACCUUGAAUGUGAUUUGGAACGAUUUCCUAAAUCUCAUUCAUACUCUGGCCAGAGAUUCUUAAUCAUAUCAUAGAGGAUUCUCCCUCAAACGGUUUAAAGGUUAGAGAUCUCUUGUUGCACAUUCACUUGCCUCCAUGGCUAAGUGGCUUAACCCCAACUAUGCCACGGACACCCUCUGACGAAGUGACUUUGACAUAGUCAAAGAUCAAAGACCUAACCACAAGACAACUAUGAUGCCUCAGGUCAAAUGACUACUUUGCAUUAUCCCAACCUUGAGUUCUCAUGUGACAUGAGUAUGAGAACUCCUUGUUGAUCGUGUUCAGUGGACUCAUUCUCUAUUGAGCACCUAUAUGCUUGUCUUGGUGUCAGUCACACCAAUGACUCGAGACCAGUCACUCUCCCUAAGAGAAGACAUAGCACGUACUGAUCUUAACGGACUGUUAAUGCCCAAUUGGCAAUCCUAUGAUCAGGAACGUUUAGGAUAUGUAUAGGAAAUAGAAUGGUCUCAUGAAUCUAACUUCUUUAGAUCGCAUUCUCCCAAUUACAUAUUCCUUGGACUUAUUGUUUAAGUGUAUAACAUUUAUAUGAGAUGACUUCAAACAAUAAUUUUUGCCCUUUAUAUUAAACUAUAUUAGUUUAACAUGUGAAAUGUCCGUAAAGUAACCUCUUCUGUAGUCAUUUAAAAAAUGGCUGAGGAGUAGGCCUAGACAAUGGAUAUCUAUAUGUUAACCAUAGAAGCAACCUUGAGAAUAACGACGUCACCAUUAUACAUGAUUCUUAAUCAUGUGGUUUAGUCUCUCAUUUGAGUUCGGAUCUUGAUGAGACCUUGAUUUCCUGGCUUGAGCUAUUGCCCCAUUAGUGUCAUAGUGUCGGUACACUGGAGACACUUUCUAGUUGGAACCGAAUAGAGAGUUCAUAAAUGAACUUUCCCAUCCAAACAACAUUAUUGUAAGCUAAUGCAUUUUGCAUUCACAAUGGAACACACUAAAGUCAUUACUUUUAAUGUUUCCAUCCAAAUAUCUCUUUAGUCAUAAUAAAAAGAUAUCUGAUUAUCUCUUCAUUCAUAAUGAAGAAACAUCUAAUGAUGGAUUAGAUUCAUAAUCUAAUACAUUUACGCUUCCAUUACAUUACUCUAAUUCUUCCUCAUUCUUUGAGGAAUAUAUCCGUUAGUAUUUCUUAAAUACUUAAGGACUCACUUGACAGUUGCCUUGGUUCUGAUCCUGGGCUUGCACUGAUAUCGUCUUGUAUCGUUCUAGGUACAACUCAUAUCAAUGUUUUUCAUACAAUAUGAAAUACGUAAAUCACCUUUCUAUGUAUGCAUAAAGGAUUCUAUUAAUGCAUUAUGUUUCUUUAGAGUUUUCCUUCUGAUUGAAGUUUAUCAUCAUAUGAGAAACUUCCUAGCAUCUUUUGUCUAUCAUUAGGGCUUGAUAUAAUCCAAUUAUAUCCUGAAAUCUAUCAUUAUAGAUUUCCAUCCUAUGUUUCUAGACUAUGUCUCCUAUAUACAUUCUAUCAUUAUAGAAUGUUUAAAGUCAUAACUUUAACGAAGAAGUAUUCUUUUCAUUUCCAAAAUUAAUAUAUCAUA